AGAGUUUGAUCCUGGCUCAGGACGAACGCUGGCGGCACGCUUAACACAUGCAAGUCGAACGAGAGAAGAGGAGCUUGCUUUUCUGAUCUAGUGGCGGACGGGUGAGUAACACGUGAGCAAUCUGCCUUUCAGAGGGGGAUACCGAUUGGAAACGAUCGUUAAUACCGCAUAACAUAAUUGAACCGCAUGAUUUGAUUAUCAAAGAUUUAUCGCUGAAAGAUGAGCUCGCGUCUGAUUAGCUAGUUGGUAAGGUAACGGCUUACCAAGGCGACGAUCAGUAGCCGGACUGAGAGGUUGAUCGGCCACAUUGGGACUGAGACACGGCCCAGACUCCUACGGGAGGCAGCAGUGGGGAAUAUUGCACAAUGGAGGAAACUCUGAUGCAGCGAUGCCGCGUGAGGGAAGAAGGUUUUAGGAUUGUAAACCUCUGUCUUCAGGGACGAAAAAAGACGGUACCUGAGGAGGAAGCUCCGGCUAACUACGUGCCAGCAGCCGCGGUAAUACGUAGGGAGCGAGCGUUGUCCGGAAUUACUGGGUGUAAAGGGAGCGUAGGCGGGAUCGCAAGUCAGAUGUGAAAACUAUGGGCUUAACCCAUAAACUGCAUUUGAAACUGUGGUUCUUGAGUGAAGUAGAGGUAAGCGGAAUUCCUAGUGUAGCGGUGAAAUGCGUAGAUAUUAGGAGGAACAUCAGUGGCGAAGGCGGCUUACUGGGCUUUAACUGACGCUGAGGCUCGAAAGCGUGGGGAGCAAACAGGAUUAGAUACCCUGGUAGUCCACGCCGUAAACGAUGAUUACUAGGUGUGGGGGGACUGACCCCUUCCGUGCCGCAGCAAACGCAAUAAGUAAUCCACCUGGGGAGUACGACCGCAAGGUUGAAACUCAAAGGAAUUGACGGGGGCCCGCACAAGCAGUGGAGUAUGUGGAUUAAUUCGAAGCAACGCGAAGAACCUUACCAGGUCUUGACAUCGUAUGCAUAGCUCAGAGAUGAGUGAAAUCUCUUCGGAGACAUAUAGACAGGUGGUGCAUGGUUGUCGUCAGCUCGUGUCGUGAGAUGUUGGGUUAAGUCCCGCAACGAGCGCAACCCUUACUGUUAGUUGCUACUCAAGAGCACUCUAGCAGGACUGCCGUUGACAAAACGGAGGAAGGUGGGGAUGACGUCAAAUCAUCAUGCCCCUUAUGACCUGGGCCUCACACGUACUACAAUGGCUGUCAACAGAGGGAAGCAAAGCCGCGAGGUGGAGCGAACCCCUAAAAGCAGUCUUAGUUCGGAUUGUAGGCUGCAACCCGCCUACAUGAAGUCGGAAUUGCUAGUAAUCGCAGAUCAGCAUGCUGCGGUGAAUACGUUCCCGGGCCUUGUACACACCGCCCGUCACGCCAUGGGAGUCGGUAACACCCGAAGCCUGUAGUCUAACCGCAAGGAGGACGCAGUCGAAGGUGGGAUUGAUGACUGGGGUGAAGUCGUAACAAGGUA
rnacentral:rRNA from 1 species